UGAUUGGUUAUCAUGUAAUGUAAUGUAUCCCAUUUCCCCUUGGUCUGACCCACAGCAUCCAUGACAUGGAGGACCAACAUUCUGUUGUUCUUUUUUUGGUUUUUCUAGGACCAACAGACUCCGCCGAUUGAAGACAAAGAUCUCUUCCCCUUGCAGCUGCCCAAUCUCUGCCCGCAAUCAUUAGCCCCUCCUUGCCAAGGGGAAAAAGAAAAACCCCAGCAGGUUGGAAUGGACUUCGGACCCCGGCCCUUCUGGAUGCAAGGAUGAAGUGAUUUCGCCAGCCCUGAACCAACCGAGCGGUAAAGGAGUGACCCCGUAAGAGUUUGGGACCAAAACGAGGAGAGAGGUUUGGAAAGGACUGGCCUUGGGCCCGGAGAGGA
rnacentral:lncRNA from 1 species